UCGGAUAUGGUGUAACGGCUAACAUUGCCGCCUCUCACGAGAAACCCUGGAACGACUAUAGGUUCUUUUCAGCGCGGCAGCUCGGGGUUCGAUUCCCCGUAUCCGAA